GUACGUGUCUCGUCGCAGACUAAUGCCUCAUUUCCACUGCAUGGUUAAGCACGGAUCACCAAGUGCUUUUCUCUAUUUCGUUUUCCACUGCGGAUAGUAACUCUCAGUGUAGGCGGGCUUCUCAGCUGAUCGCCAUGACAUCAUCUU